GUUGGUAGUGACUUAGAACUCUUCAACUUUGCCUUUAGAAAGUUGUUUUCCUAGCAAGUACUUUCAAUGUGGAUAGCCACUUCUUGUCUAGAUAGCCACAUUCCCUUGUGUGGUAUCCACGAACCAAGAGAAGUGGACUCAUUUACCCUCCCAUCUCUAUCCAUCAAUCAAUCAAGGGAUAUCAAUUUGUGGGAUAUGACUCCAACAGACACAUCAUACAUGUUUCAUAUUAUUAAAAAGAUCACAUUUAUUAUUAAGUCAAAUCGUUAGAGGACAUUUGUUUGGAAGUAAUUCUAUACCGUAACACUUUUAAGUCAUUUAAUCCUGAGUAAUUAUGUUUAUUUCAUCAAAUAUUCAUUAAUUGUGAGUAAUUAUGUUUAUUUUA